CAAUAGCGUAUAUUUAAGUUGUUGCAGUUAAAAAGCUCGUAGUUGGAUUUCGGGUGGGACGCAGCGGUCUCGCAUUGCGUUUGUACUGCUGCAGCCCUCCUUCUUGCCGGGGGCGGCCUCUCGGACUUCACUGUCUGGGGGUCAGAAUCGGCGAUGUUACUUUGAGUAAAUUAGAGUGUUCAAAGCAAGCUUACGCUCUGAAUAUAAUAGCAUGGGAUAACACGACAGGACUCUGGCCUAUCGUGUUGGUCUAUAGGACCAGAGUAAUGAUUAAGAGGGACAGUCGGGGGCAUUCGUAUUCCGUGGUCAGAGGUGAAAUUCUUGGAUUUACGGAAGACGAACAUCUGCGAAAGCAUUUGCCAAGGAUGUUUUCAUUGA
rnacentral:rRNA from 1 species